AUGGAGAAAUCAAAAGGAAAGCAACCUUCAAAGCUUUCUAAAACUAUUCGUAACACCUCAGAACCCUUGAUCUCCACCAAACAACCCAAAACUUUAGGUUCAAAGAUCGAUAAUGCAGCAAAACCAAAUUUGGCCAUUAAAAGUAAACCAGGAAAAAACACCAGUUUAGCUCUAAGGAAGGAACAAGAGAUUUUUAAAUCAAGUAAAACCCUUACUUCUGAUUCAUUGGAUCUGAAGGACAAUAACACAGUGGUAACUAAACCUAAACACAGGAAAGUUACUGUACUAGAGACGAGGGAAGACCUUUUGAAAAAUACAGAUGCAAAAGAAGGAGUAUCAGACAACAUCGUGCCAAGUGUGGUGGAGGUCUGUAGAUCGAGUAAAUCUGAGCUUCAAGACUUUGGUAAAAGCUGGAACAACUCAAACACAGAAGUGCCCAAAUUGUCUAAAAGCUCAACCACUGACCAACCAAAUGGGACUUCAUCUCCAAAAGCCUCUGUGGAUCGUACAGAUACGCACGUAACACAGAUAAUUGGCAAGACGUUCAGCACAGAAUACCCUGAAAGUGCUUCAACAUUCAUAACUUCUAAAAUAUCAAACAGUGAUCAAGCAGAGACAAGCUUGACACUGAAAUCAUCUCAACUACCAAGAAAUUACCAAAUUGAGGUUUCUACCACAACUAUCCCUUCUGUUACUCCAUGCAAGACGCCUACGACUUCAGAGCAUCAGGCCGAUCGUUCAACCACAGACACAGAGCAAGGAAGGACCUCUGAAUGUCCAAAAGUCUUACCCUCAAACCCUAAACCAUCCAAGACUACCUCGAACUCUUCCCUAAAAAUAACCAAAAACAACACAUUGUUGUCCCCCGGCCCUUCAAAGACUUUCCCCUCAGAUCCUUCAAGGCCGUGCUCAACAGUUGUUAGAGAAGCCAGUCCUGCCCACAGCGCUACAACAAUACCUAAAGGAACCUCAAAUUCAAAGUUGUCCAAAAUUGUCCCAUCCUCAGAUACUAAACCCACAAAUGACACCACAUGUGUACCCAACAAACCUUCGAGAGGCCUUCCAACGGACAGGGAAUUUACUGAAGUAUCGAUCGCAACCAAUCUGCAAGAUAUCAAUGAAGAUCACGGAUGUUUGAAAAUGAGCCCGGCUGCAAACCACAUAGAGAUAUCCAAGGGUUCAGGUGGAGAUUACAAGGAGAAUCCUGUCUUCUCUGAGCCCUCCAGCAUCCAUCCGCUGAGCACGUCUGCAUCCAAGAUCACCACAGAAUCCGGAAUAACCUCAACCUCCAUGCCGAAUGAAACCCCUGAAUCCAACGCAUCAGUAGGAACCACUAUUCCGAAAACAUUGAAAGCCUCAGAUACAGAGAACAGAGAGGAUUUAGCAACAACCAGGUCUUUAGUAAAUCUAAUCGCAAAGGUUUCUAUAAGCUCAAGUAAGAAGAGCAGUGAAGCUGAAUCUGAUGUAAAACCCCAUCACUACAAAUCUUUGAUCGGAGAACCUAAAACAAAGCUUGGGUCUUUUAGCAACCACACCAAGUCCACCACAACAAUGACCCUAAAGACAUUUCCUACAGAGGCAAGAAAGAAAAGAGACAACGCAGAAAUUAACGACACAACAAAUAUAUCUACUGUCGCUGAUUCCACUUCAUUCACCUCCCCAACGUCUCCGGACCACAGAGCUUCGUUAAGAAGUUUAGUUUUUCACACCAUGGACACCACAGACGUUGAGGAGUUUAAUUUUAGUGUAUCCCAGUCCUCUCCUCCUCCUCCUCCUUCCUCCACACCCUUCAUCCCCUCUUUCUCUGUUGUCAGCCCAGCCACCAGCGAUCACCUUUCCCUGGGUGCCGGGUUCCACCCUGGGACCCACAGCCUUAGGUACUGA
ensembl:lncRNA